GGGCCGAUGAUGCGAAGCAUACUCCUACAGUCUAGACGUGGGGAGGAUCUACUUCAUGUUUCUCACUUUCUCCCGUUGUAGCUU
rnacentral:snoRNA from 1 species